UACGAAGGGGGCUAGCGUUGUUCGGAAUUACUGGGCGUAAAGCGCACGUAGGCGGAUAUUUAAGUCAGGGGUGAAAUCCCAGAGCUCAACUCCAGAACUGCCUUUGAUACUGAGAAGCUUGAGUCCGGGAGAGGUGAGUGGAACUGCGAGUGUAGAGGUGAAAUUCGUAGAUAUUCGCAAGAACACCAGUGGCGAAGGCGGCUCACUGGCCCGGUACUGACGCUGAGGUGCGAAAGCGUGGGGAGCAAACAGG
rnacentral:rRNA from 1 species